UCGUGCGCCGUCGACGGCCGUCGCCGGCGUGUGGCCACGGCGAAGGUGGUCGGCCCAGACGGCUCUUUGGUGCAGUUCGCGGCGCCCGUCAUGGCGGGCGAGGCGCUGGGGGACGCCGCCAGCGCGUCGAGCUUCCUGUGCAGCGCCGACGAGCUCCGCUUCGACGCGCCCGCCCGUGCGCUGGCGGCCGAGGAGGCGCUGCAGCCCGGGUGGCUCUACUUCGCGCUGCCCAUGUCCAUGCUCCGCCGGCCGCUCUCCGGGCAGGAGAUGGCCGCCCUCGCCGUCAAGGCCAGCUCCGCGCUCGCCGUCGCCAGCGGUAAGGGGCGGAAGGCGGCUCGGGUGGCGCCUCGCGCGGGAGGAUGGAGUCCCUGA
rnacentral:rRNA from 1 species